rnacentral:rRNA from 1 species
AUUGAACGCUGGCGGCAGGCCUAACACAUGCAAGUCGAACGAGUGGCGGACGGGUGAGGAAUGUCUGGGAAACUGCCUGAUGGAGGGGGAUAACUACUGGAAACGGUAGCUAAUACCGCAUACCAUCAGAUGUGCUCAGAUGGGAUUAGCUAGUAGGUGAGGUAACGGCCUACCAAGGCGACGAUCCCUAGCUGGUCUGAGAGGAUGACCAGCCACACUGGAACUGAGACACGGUCCAGACUCCUACGGGAGGCAGCAGUGGGGAAUAUUGCACAAUGGGCGAAACCCUGAUGCAGCCAUGCCGCGUGUAUGAAGAAGGCCUUCGGGUUGUAAAGUACUUUCAGUGGGGAGGCGUUACCCGCAGAAGAAGCACCGGCUAACUCCGUGCCAGCCGCCGCGGUAAUUC